ACCUAGUGAAUACGGGCCUGGAAUGUAUCUGCAAUGUUUAGCUUUCAAACCUCUUCCUGAUCCUAUUAAAGGACAUCUUGUGCCCAGUGGUCCCAUGGGUAAAGCAGCACCAGCACGGGCGGUUUUAACUUUCACUGACACUAGCCCUGACCAAUAGGACCCUCACCUAUUCAUUGGCAGAAAGUGAAUAAAAAAGGGGUAGUCUAAAAUGAAACGGUAACAGUCUGCUAUAGUUGAGAUCGCUGAAAUUGUCAACAGAGGGAUCUUUUCGCCGAAUAUCAGCUGAAAUUUGGAACAGACAAGAUGUAAAAGGAGGUUCCUUUGUCUGCGUGUCAAGAGUCAGCCCCUGGACCAAUAGGAGAAGUGAAAUCAUAUGACUCCCAUCCCAUCCCAGCCCCAAUAAGUCAUGUGGUCCUUCAUCUCCAGCCUUCCCUCAGAAACGUUGGCAAUGCUUCGGCGAUGAUGACGAGUGCAACGGUUUAAUUAGAUCCAUUCUUGAGGACGUGGACAAUGUAGAUGUUUUAAAAGGAGCAAGACCUGCAUUUUUUCAGACUUUUUGUAAGGUGGUUCAUCUCAAUGGACGUGUAGUCGAGAGGGAAAUGGAAGUUCAGUCAGUGCGUCGCGGCUGAGUGAGGGCGCGUUGGGCAUCCGACUGUCACCUUGCGCAUUGCCCGGUUCAGGGCUGGUGCGUAAUAUGUCCAGUGGGGUACGCGCGCAGGAAUGCAUGGGCAUCGGGGCCUUGCAUCUCUUUCAAUAGGAUUUAAAGAAGCAAAUGCCAUACAGGGAGAGGAUGCAAGAGAUGUUUCUUUCUUUAUAACUCAUUUCAUGUCGAAGUGGUCUGUUUUUUGUCCAACUUCAAGUUGUACAUUACCGCGGAUUUAGCUUAUAUUUGAUUUAUUUUCCACAAAAGCCGUCUGCAUUCACUUUAUUUAAUUAAAUUAUGUUUUGUUUAUUAUAA